GACGAACGCUGGCGGCGUGCUUAACACAUGCAAGUCGUACGGUAAGGCCCUUUCGGGGGUACACGAGUGGCGAACGGGUGAGUAACACGUGAGUAACCUGCCCACAACUUUGGGAUAACGCUAGGAAACUGGUGCUAAUACUGGAUAUGUGCUCCUGCUGCAUGGUGGGGGUUGGAAAGCUCCGGCGGUUGUGGAUGGACUCGCGGCCUAUCAGCUUGUUGGUGGGGUAGUGGCCUACCAAGGCGGCCACGGGUAGCCGGCCUGAGAGGGUGACCGGCCACAUUGGGACUGAGAUACGGCCCAGACUCCUACGGGAGGCAGCAGUGGGGAAUAUUGCACAAUGGGCGCAAGCCUGAUGCAGCAACGCCGCGUGCGGGAUGACGGCCUUCGGGUUGUAAACCGCUUUCAGCAGGGACGAAGCUUUUUGUGACGGUACCUGCAGAAGAAGCACCGGCUAACUACGUG
rnacentral:rRNA from 1 species